rnacentral:misc_RNA from 2 species
AUCACGGAUGCGCGUUGAUCAUUUCAGUGGCGUUGAUCGAGUGUGUAACGUUACGUUAUUUGUUUAUUAACUUGGGAGGAAGACGCCAAGUUUUCAUUCUAUUUCAAUGGUGCGCCCUGACACGGUGAAGAGUGAAAAAUUGAAUGCGGCAUAAAUCAGGAAUACUGAUUCAGAUAUUGGAUCAAGAAUCAAGGCACGCCUUAAUCAAGUUGCGCAAUAGUUGUGCGCUGCUAAAGUAAUAUCCCAGCAAGAAAAAAAAAAAGGCUGGAACGCUACACCGUGUGGCUUUGGCGUCUCUCACGGCAACAUACACUGACUCGGAGGGUGAGGACGGGGGAGGGGACGAUCUACAGGAGAGUAACAUCCCGCAGGGGACUACUGCCCCGCAAAAUGUCCAAUUUGGUCAGCCCCAGGGUUUCAC